UGGAGCUUAGCGUAACAUUCACGCAGAAUGUUUUUCUCUUUUUCUGCAAUUGCAAUAAGCAAUAUAUACACAGAGAGAGAGAGAGAAAGAGAGAGCGCUACGUUCGUUCAGUCGCAGACAACCGCGAGGUCCAUCGCUUCCCAUUUCACCAUCUUCUUGUUCUCGUUCUAGUUCUUUCCAAUGGCGAGGCUCGAAGAUCACUUCUCUCUGGGCGAGAAGCUCGGCGAGGGCCAGUUCGGCACGGCCUAUCUCUGCGCCGACAAGGCCACCCACAAGAUUUACGCCUGCAAGUCGAUCCCUAAGAGAAAGCUCCACAGUCAGGAGGACGUUGAGGAGGUGCGGAGGGAGAUCCAGAUCAUGCACUACCUCUCCGAGCAUCCGAACGUCGUCCAAAUCAAGGGCACGUACGAGGACAGCACGUCCGUGCACAUAGUGAUGGAGCUUUGUGGUGGGGGUGAGCUCUUCGAUAGGAUCAUCAAGAAGGGGCGUUUCAGUGAACGCGAGGCCGCGAAGCACAUCAAGAUGAUCGUGCGUGCUGUGGAGGCGUGCCACUCUGCUGGGGUCAUGCACAGAGACCUGAAGCCGGAGAAUUUCCUGUUCGUUAAUCCGGACGACGAUGCCGAGCUCAAGGUCAUCGAUUUUGGGUUGUCCGUCUUCUUUAAGCCAGGACAAGUUUUUUCUGAUGUUGUUGGAAGUCCGUAUUAUGUUGCGCCAGAGGUUCUGCUGAAGCAUUAUGGACCUGAAGUAGAUGUAUGGAGUGCUGGUGUAAUCCUAUACAUUCUACUGAGUGGAUUUCCGCCCUUUUCGGCAGGAACUGAAUCUGAGAUCCUCAGAGAGGUAUUGCAAGGAGAAUUAGAUGUAGAGUCUGACCCUUGGACUAGCAUCUCAGACAGUGCGAAGGAUCUGGUAAAGAAGAUGCUUGACAGAGACCCUAGGAAACGAUUCUCUGCUAAGCAAGUUCUGUGUAAGUUGUCGCAUCUGCAUGGGGCCAUAAACUUGUUCCGCUUUGCCCCUUUUCCUUUUGCAAGCCUUCUAGCAUUUGGUUUGGGUUGCUAAAUCCAUGAUCAAUUCCUUUCGGGUUAUGGGAUCUCUCUCUCUCUGACCUUUGUUUUGUUUUAAUCGAUGUCCUUUUUGGUUGCAACUCUUGCUCCGUGCGGUAAUAACAACAUUGAGUUUUAUGUCAGGUCACCCGUGGAUUGUUGAUAACGGAGUUAUCCCCGACAUACCUCUCAUUCCUAGUCACCCGUGAAUUGUUGAGGACGGAGUUACCCUCGAGAUACCUCUCGCUCCUCGUAAAUCAAGUCCCAUAAUUGGGACUCUCUCUCUCUCUCUCUCUCUCUCUAAUCAAUGUCCUCUUUGGUUACAACUCCUUUUUCAUGUGGUAGUAACAACGUUUUGUUUUAUGUCAGGUCACACGUGAAUCAUCGAUGAUGGAAUUGCCCCAAACAUACCUCUUGUCUGAAGCAGGUCUUAUCUAUUAUAUGAAAAUUGGAUGUACAUUGAACAAUGUUUCUGUAACUUUCUGGUAAGUUGUAACAUUCAUACAUUAAGUUUAAGUUGCAAACUGUGCAGAUUUGGUAGUCUA